rnacentral:rRNA from 1 species
AACGAACGCUGGCGGCAUGCCUAACACAUGCAAGUCGAACGAGACCUUCGGGUUUAGUGGCGCACGGGUGCGUAACGCGUGGGAACCUGCCCUUAGGUUCGGAAUAACUCCCCGAAAGGGGUGCUAAUACCGGAUAAUGUCUUCGGACCAAAGAUUUAUCGCCUUUGUGUGGGCCCGCGUUGGAUUAGCUAGUUGGUAGGGUAAAAGCCUACCAAGGCGACGAUCCAUAGCUGGUCUGAGAGGAUGAGCAGCCACACUGGGACUGAGACACGGCCCAGACUCCUACGGGAGGCAGCAGUGGGGAAUAUUGGACAAUGGGCGAAAGCCUGAUCCAGCAAUGCCGCGUGAGUGAUGAAGGCCUUAGGGUUGUAAAGCUCUUUUAACCGGGAUGAUAAUGACAGUACCGGGAGAAUAAGCGCCGGCUAACUCCGUG